CCCUGGAGCUUACAAAAUUCCUUCUAUCAAUGCUGUUCCAUUGAAAUUCAAUGUCUCACUUCUAAAGGCCAUCCACUCAUCUAAAGCUGUUGGCGAGCCUCCGUUUUUCCUAGCAUCGGCAGUGUUCUUCGCCAUCAAGGACGCGAUCAGAGCUGCAAGACUUGAAGUGGGAUGGAGUGAUUGGUUUCCUCUUGAUAAUCCAGCAACUCCUGAGAGAAUUCGGAUGGCUUGUUUAGAUGACAUUGCAUCCUCAACUUAUUAACUCAGAUUUUCAUCCCAAACAUCGUGUUUGACACUGCACUUAUUCGCUUGUUCAUUUUCUUAUUCACAGCAUGUCAACAUACAAAGAAUGGAGCAGGAAAUGUAUAUGUACACUUAAUUUGUUACAUCAAAUAAAUGCCACUUCCCCUUUAUUAUACACACCUGAGAUCUUCAAAGUUAAAUCAUGUGCUCAAAUCAAAGUAUGUCUCAACUAUCACUUCAUACAUUAUGAUGCAUCAAUUGUGGCAUGACAUCAAGGACUCUCAUGUAUUGCUUAUUAUAAAUCUCUCAUAUAUUGUUUAAUGUAGGGAAUGCUGUAUUUUACAAAUCUUUAUAAAUAAUAGGGCUAUAAAAAAUUUUGUA